rnacentral:rRNA from 1 species
UACAGAGGGUGCGAGCGUUGUUCGGAAUUAUUGGGCGUAAAGAGCUCGUAGGCGGUCUGUCGCGUCGGCUGUGAAAACCCGGAGCUCAACUCCGGGCCUGCAUUCGAUACGGGCAGACUAGAGUUCGGUAGGGGAGUCUGGAAUUCCUGGUGUAGCGGUGAAAUGCGCAGAUAUCAGGAGGAACACCGGUGGCGAAGGCGGGACUCUGGGCCGAUACUGACGCUGAGGAGCGAAAGCGUGGGGAGCAAACAGG